UCCAGCUCCAAUAGCGUAUAUUAAAGUUGUUGCAGUUAGAACGCUCGUAGUCGGAUUUCGGGGCGAGCCUUCCGGUCUGCCGAUGGGUAUGCACUGGUAGGGUCGUCCUUCCUUCCGGAGACCGUUCCUACUCUUAACUGAGCGGGGUCGGGAGACGGAAUUUUUACUUUGAAAAAAUCAGAGUGUUUCAAGCAGGCAGCUCGCUCUUGCAUGGAUUAGCAUGGGAUAAUGAAAUAGGACUUUGGUGCUAUUUUGUUGGUUUCGAACACCGAAGUAAUGAUGAGAAGGGACAGUCAGGGGCACUCGUAUUCCGCCGAGAGAGGUGAAAUUCUCAGACCAGCGGAAGACGAACCACUGCGAAAGCAUUUGCCAGGGAUGUUUUCACUGAUCAAGAACGAAAGUUAGGGGAUCGAAGACGAUCAGAUACCGUCGUAGUCUUAACCAUAAACCAUGCCGACUAGGGAUUGGGGGAUGUUCACUGAUUGACUUCCUCAGCACCUUACGGGAAACUAAAGUCUUUGGGUUCCGGGGGGAGUAUGGUCGCAAGGCUGAAACUUAAAGGAAUUGACGGAAGGGCACCACCAGGUGUGGAGCCUGCGGCUUAAUUUGACUCAACACGGGGAAACUUACCAGGUCCAGACAUUGUGAGGAUUGACAGAUUGACAGCUCUUUCUUGAUUCGAUGGGUGGUGGUGCAUGGCCGUUCUUAGUUGGUGGAGUGAUUUGUCUGGUUAAUUCCGUUAACGAACGAGACCUUAGCCUGCUAAAUAGUGACGCGAACACUUCGUUCGUGGGCCACUUCUUAGAGGGACAACUUGUCUUCAACAAGUGGAAGUUUGAGGCAAUAAC
rnacentral:rRNA from 1 species